rnacentral:rRNA from 1 species
AACGAACGCUGGCGGCGUGGAUAAGACAUGCAAGUCGAACGGGACUAAAUCUGUAGCAAUACAGGUUUAGUUUAGUGGCGAACGGGUGCGUAACACGUGGGCAAUCUGCCGAGAAGUGGGGGAUAGCUCGCCGAAAGGCGAAUUAAUACCGCAUAUGAUCAGUGAAGACAUCUUCACGACAUCAAAGCCGGGGCAACCUGGCGCUUCUUGAUGAGCCCCGCGGCCUAUCAGCUAGUUGGUGAGGUAACGGCUCACCAAGGCUAUGACGGGUAGCUGGUCUGAGAGGACGACCAGUCACACUGGAACUGAGACACGGUCCAGACACCUACGGGUGGCAGCAGUCGAGUAAUUUUUCUCAAUGGGGAAACCCUGAAGGAGCGACGCCGCGUGGAGGAUGAAGGCUUUCGGGUU